rnacentral:tRNA from 1 species
GGCGCCGUAGCACAAUUGGUUAGCGCGCCUGCCUUUAACCCAGAGGUAAUGUGUUCAAGGCUCAUCGGUGCAG